UGCCAUGACUUUUGGGGACACCAAAUAGACUUGCAAUCAUUCCCUGGAGGCUUAACCGCCACCUAACCAUAACAAUGAACAUUGCUUGCCUAAUCUAAACACACACAUGCACAUCAUAAUUCUGUUAUAUAAAGUUCAGUGUGUACAUGUAGAAGAAGAAACUAUAACAAAUUUAAAUCCCUCAAUUUAGUGUCUCUCUUCAUCCGAGUGGGACUUUGAAGAAAAACUGUCUCAACAUUUUUAUCCUGAAUUACAGAAUUAACAAGCAGUUUGAAUUAUAUUUCCAUCACAUGUGGUCUGCUAUGCAUUAAUUAUUGAUCUCCUGUUUCUAUGCUAGCAAGACAUAAUUACCUUCUGUAAUGUGAACCCUUAAUCAAAUUUAAACAUUUAUAUUGCUUAUCUUUCUGCCUAACCCCUUUGGCUAAAUCUUCCUAAUUACACCAAUCAAAUUGGGAUGGAGAGUAAUUCUUCUCCUUGCUUCAGUUAGAAAGCAGGGAUGACAUACAUAUUUCACUUGAUGCCAAAGUACCUCACUUCCAACAUGUUAAAUAAUGGCUGAUGUCCCUCCUUUGUUUUGUCUGAAAGUGUACUGCAAGUUGAGAAAUCCUUUGCUCAAUAAUUGUAUUAAAAGGGAUAAUUACAUGAAUAUAUAUUUAUCUGCGAAAGAAAUUUGAAACAGCCACUCACUAACCUUCAACCUCCAUCGAAAUAUGCAACAGUCUUAUGUCAAAGUACACAUGAUGAUACAUCUCGUCAUUCUUUAGGUCAUGUCUUUUUGCUUUUCUUUCAUUCAUGUUUCAUGCUUCCUGUUUUCUUGUAAAACUUACCUCUCCUCUCGUUUCAGACCACUUUGCUUCCUGCCCCUGUAUUUUCCCUGCAGUUCUGAUUGUCUGCCCUGCCCUCAUUAGAUUCACCUGUGUCACAUUAUCGUUCCCCUCUCUUGUGUAUUUAGUGUGUGCUUCUCCUCAUGAGCAGGAUCUCUCUGCAGUCUGCAAGGGAUUGAGGGAACUCACCCAGGUUCAGGAAGAGGUCCAGAGCUCCACUGGUAAUCAAGUGAACCGGCUGAGUAAUCAGUUCCAACACCUGGUGAGUCGUCUGGAUUCUCUGAUGUCCCCCUGUCACCACUCCCCAACCAGCUCUUACUUCAGCUUUGGCCUCUGCUCUUGCCCCUGCUCGCCACUCCGCCAAGCCAGAGUGUUUUUCCAGAGAUUCUGGGAAUUGUCAGGCUCACCAUGGCUGCAUUGUACCGUUCCUUAUUUCCUGACCUGAAGGCAGUGUUGCGGUCCUGGCAGUGCGACGUCAGGAGAGGGGAGGUCAUGGAUUCCUGCUGGCAACAUUGUGAACCCUGACCUCAAUCGAGGCUUUCAAUAUCACCAUCCAGAUCUGCCUGGGACAUCAGGUGCCGUCCCUAGAGGGGGGGUACUGAUACAUCUCGUCAUUCCUAAGAUCAUGUCUUUUUGUUUUUCUUUCAUUCAUGUUUCAUGCUCCCUGUUUUAUUGUGAAACUUACCUCUCCUCUCGUUCCCGCUUCACUUCCUGCCCCUGUGUUUUCCCUCCAGUUCUGAUUGUCUGCCCUGCCCUCAUUAGAUUUACCUGUGUCUCAUUAUCGUUCCCCUGUGUUGUGUAUUUAGUGUGUGCUUCACCUCCUCUCUGUGCCAGUUCGUCUUUGUACCUCAAAGUCAAACGUUCCAGCAGUCUUCAUUAUCUGUUUUCCUGGUUUUUUGGAUUAGUUGCCUGUUUGUUGCUUCUGCCUUUGCCUUGCCCUUCGGAUUUGUUUGCCGUGUGGACUGUCUAUCGUGAACUGAAGCCCUUUGCAAGUAAACUGUGUUUGUUAGAAACUCAAA